GCUUGAUUAGCUUAUAUAAAGCGUUACUUUGAAGAGGUAAAAAAGGCACAAGCCAUCAAGCA
rnacentral:tRNA from 1 species